UGGGGAAUCUUCCGCAAUGGGCGAAAGCCUGACGGAGCAACGCCGCGUGAGUGAAGACGGCCUUCGGGUUGUAAAGCUCUGUUAUAUGGGACGAAUGUAUUUAUGGCCAAUACCCCUAGAUAGUGACGGUACCGUAAGAGAAAGCCACGGCUAACUACGUGCCAGCAGCCGCGGUAAUACGGAGGUGGCAAGCGUUGUCCGGAAUUAUUGGGCGUAAAGGGCGCGCAGGCGGCCUGUCAAGUCUGUCGUAAAAGUGCGGGGCUCAACCCCGUGAUGGGACGGAAACUGGCAGGCUGGAGUGUCGGAGAGGAAAGCAGAAUUCCUAGUGUAGCGGUGAAAUGCGUAGAUAUUAGGAGGAAUACCAGUGGCGAAAGCGGCUUUCUGGACGACAACUGACGCUGAGGCGCGAAAGCCAGGGGAGCAAACG
rnacentral:rRNA from 1 species